GCGGAAGUGGCGGAAUUGGUAGACGCGCUGGAUUUAGGUUCCAGUACCUUCGGGUGUGAGAGUUCAAGUCUCUCUUUCCGCACCA
rnacentral:tRNA from 6 species